rnacentral:rRNA from 1 species
CGGCGGGAACAGACGGCCCUGUAACAACGGGCCGCCCCCGCCAGAGGACCCCUAACUCUGUUUUUAUAAUGUUUUUCUGAGUAAACAAGCAAAUAAAUUAAAACUUUCAACAACGGAUCUCUUGGCUCUGGCAUCGAUGAAGAACGCAGCGAAAUGCGAUAAGUAAUGUGAAUUGCAGAAUUCAGUGAAUCAUCGAAUCUUUGAACGCACAUUGCGCCCGCCAGUAUUCUGGCGGGCAUGCCUGUUCGAGCGUCAUUACAACCCUCAGGCCCCCGGGCCUGGCGUUGGGGAUCGGCAGAAGCCCCCUGUGGGCACACGCCGUCCCUCAAAUACAGUGGCGGUCCCGCCGCAGCUUCCAUUGCGUAGUAGCUAACACCUCGCAACUGGAGAGCGGCGCGGCCAUGCCGUAAAACACCCAACUUCUGAAUGUUGACCUCGAAUCAGGUAGGAAUACCCGCUGAACUUAAGCAU